UACGUAGGGUGCAAGCGUUGCCCGGAUUUAUUGGGCGUAAAGGGCGCGUAGGCGGCUCGGCACGUCCGUUGUGAAAUCGCCCGGCUCAACUGGGCGGGGUCAGCGGAUACGGCCGAGCUUGAGCAAGCUAGGGGGCAAUGGAAUUCCCGGUGUAGUGGUGAAAUGCGCAGAUAUCAGGAGGAACACCGGUGGCGAAGGCGGAUCUCUGGGCCGAUACUGACGCUGAGGAGCGAAAGCGUGGGGAGCAAACAGG
rnacentral:rRNA from 1 species